UCUCCGUAGGUGAACCUGCGGAGGGAUCAUUACAAGUGACCCCGGUCUUACCACCGGGAUGUUCAUAACCCUUUGUUGUCCGACUCUGUUGCCUCCGGGGCGACCCUGCCUUCGGGCGGGGGCUCCGGGUGUACACUUCAAACUCUUGCGUAACUUUGCAGUCUGAGUAAACUUAAUUAAUAAAUUAAAACUUUUAACAACGGAUCUCUUGGUUCUG
rnacentral:misc_RNA from 1 species